CGAGCGGAAGGCCCUUCGGGGUACUCGAGCGGCGAACGGGUGAGUAACACGUGAGCAACCUGCCCCAGGCUUUGGGAUAACCCCGGGAAACCGGGGCUAAUACCGAAUAUGACCUCCGAUCGCAUGGUUGGUGGUGGAAAGUUUUUCGGCUUGGGAUGGGCUCGCGGCCUAUCAGCUUGUUGGUGGGGUGAUGGCCUACCAAGGCGACGACGGGUAGCCGGCCUGAGAGGGCGACCGGCCACACUGGGACUGAGACACGGCCCAGACUCCUACGGGAGGCAGCAGUGGGGAAUAUUGCACAAUGGGCGGAAGCCUGAUGCAGCGACGCCGCGUGAGGGAUGACGGCCUUCGGGUUGUAAACCUCUUUCAGCAGGGACGAAGCGUAAGUGACGGUACCUGCAGAAGAAGCGCCGGCCAACUACGUGCCAGCAGCCGCGGUAAGACGUAGGGCGCGAGCGUUGUCCGGAUUUAUUGGGCGUAAAGAGCUCGUAGGCGGCUUGUCGCGUCGACUGUGAAAACCCGCAGCUCAACUGCGGGCCUGCAGUCGAUACGGGCAGGCUAGAGUUCGGUAGGGGAGACUGGAAUUCCUGGUGUAGCGGUGAAAUGCGCAGAUAUCAGGAGGAACACCGGUGGCGAAGGCGGGUCUCUGGGCCGAUACUGACGCUGAGGAGCGAAAGCGUGGGGAGCGAACAGGAUUAGAUACCCUGGUAGUCCACGCUGUAAACGUUGGGCGCUA
rnacentral:rRNA from 1 species